GCUGGAGCUCAGUUAUUUUGUGCCUGAUGUAGUAAUGCGCAGUGUUGCUGUGGGGCGAGGUGGAGAGGUAAUGGUUGAUAAUCAUGCAAUUGAAGUUGCCUGUGUGCUCACGGUAGAAGUGCUUUAGGGAAAGAUGUUGCAGGUUUCUCCUCCUGAGUGUGUCUUCCAGUUUUUGAAUGUGGUCAAGGAUGGAAUUCCCA
rnacentral:lncRNA from 1 species